UACCAGAUUGCAGUGUAUGCUAAUUGUUCAUUUGAUAUGGAAAUAAUUCUAAAUUAUUUUUGUUAUUUCUCAUCGAUGCACAUUUGUUGAUUUAAGUUUCCAGGAUGCCUCCAGUUUUAUACACAUUUGGAUUUUUACUACUCGGUCUUACAAGAAAAGUGCAAAGUGUUACAUUCCAACAGUCCUCUCCUCAAGUUGUAAAGGAAGGGACUGUGGAGCUCACGAUAAACUGCAAUCAUGAUGGCAGCAGCCUCAACACUAUGCUGUGGUACCAACACAAACAGAGCAGUCGCUCUAUGAGCCUCAUCGGGUACGUAGUCCGCCAGGGUGAUCCAGUCUACGAGGACCAGUUUAAAGACUCCAGAUUCAAGAUGAAAGGAGAAGACACAGGGAAAGGAUCUCUGAUCAUUCAAACAGUGACUCCAUCAGACUCAGCUGUGUAUUUCUGCGCUGCCAGCACACAGUGAUGUGGUUUAAUGUCACCCCCUCACUAAAAACCCUGCUGCGUCUUUUAACAGCUGCUGUUCAGGAGUUCAGUUAUUUGAGAACUGAAGAUAUGAUGCUGUUUUAUUCUAUUUUCAUUAUAUGAUGAUGUAACUGAACAGGUUCUGCUAAUGUAAAUGUAUUCAGUGCAAACAAUACACAUAUUGAUUAUGUUUAUAUUAUAAUCAGUAAUCAAAAUGUAAUCAUGUAGGCCUAUGAGCAGUGUUGGACUCAGCACA